GUGGCAAGUGGUGCUUUCUCCCUGAGCCCUGACUCACUGUGCGGGAGGGGCAGCUCAAACCUGCAGAUACAUAAUGACUAUUGGCAACCCCAGAGGCCUCCCCAGAGAAAUGCACGAGUGGAACAGAGCAGUAGGUGCGGUGUACUACAGUGCCUGAAGAGCAGUCUACUCACAGACCGUCAGGGAUGAAAACUGGCUACUCCAUUGAGCACAAAGCCCAGGAUUUAAAGCUGGUGUAUGAGAAGGUGGAGAUUUCUCAAGCACAGGAUGAGAUCACCCACAUGUUCUAUGCCUAUUGUUACCUGCUCUGGAAGUGAGCUCCUACUGGCCAUGGAGGAUCUGCUCAUUGGGCUGAACUAGCCUACAGGGACUUCACUGCCUCUGCCAAGCCCAGGAGUGCUGCUCCCUUACUCUAAUGGCUCUAAUGAGACUCAGAGCAGGCACAAGAAAAGGCAGAAAGCUUUCUGAGCAAGAGGCUGGCUAAUGAGCUGUUGAUACAACAGUUACAUAAUUGUAAGAGAUAUUACAGCUAGGAAAGUGGUGUGCCUGUAGUCCCAGCUACUUGAGAAGCUGAGGCAGGAGGAUUGCUUGAGACCAGGAUGUUCAGAGCCAGCCUGGGCAACACUGCAAGACUGUCUCAGAAACAAAACAAAACAAAACAAAACAACAAUGACAAAAGACAUUACAGAGGCAGCCAAUAAGUAUCUCCCCUUGGGAAGAAGCUAGACAUGAAUGCUGUGACUCAUGAGUAUAUCCAAAGUAGGGGACCACCAAUCAAGACUCAGGGGCUGAGGAGUCUUCAGCAUUGAAAGUCUUCACUUGGCCUCCUCAGGUCACUGAGCUCUCCCUGAGCCAUAUGUGAGACCUGGUGCUGGUCUCCCAGGGCACAGGGCACCUGUCCUGUGAUCUUGCAAUCUUAAAAUAACAGGAAGUUAUAAUACACAAUGCUGCUGUUGUUUCUUGACUGAGUGCCUGAAUAUGGGUGCCAAGGGGGGAUCUGCCCUCCCCUUUUCAUUCUGAUUCAAGGAUUGAAACCACUGUUCCCUUUGGAGUGAGGUUCACUGCAAGAGCCAUGGGGCAUUCUGAUUGUUUUGGGACAUUUUCCUCCCUGAACUGGAAAAUAAACAAUCCCUGAAAGCAA